UACGGGGGGGGGCAAGCGUUGUUCGGAAUUACUGGGCGUAAAGGGCUCGUAGGUGGCCAACUAAGUCAGACGUGAAAUCCCUCGGCUUAACCGGGGAACUGCGUCUGAUACUGGAUGGCUUGAGUUUGGGAGAGGGACGCGGAAUUCCAGGUGUAGCGGUGAAAUGCGUAGAUAUCUGGAGGAACACCGGUGGCGAAGGCGGCGUCCUGGACCAAUACUGACACUGAUGAGCGAAAGCCAGGGGAGCAAACGGG
rnacentral:rRNA from 1 species